UUUUUUUUUUUUUUUUUCUUAACUCCUUUUGGCCUUGUGGAUUAUUGAAAUUAGGUUAGUUGAAAUUAUUUUAAGUUUUGUUAAUUUGUUAGUUAAAAUUCUGCUUGAUUGUUGAAAUUGAUAGUUUGAUUCUUAACUUUUCAUUGUUCUCUUUGUUGAUUAUUGAAUUUCCUGCUCUGUGUUAUUGCUACUGGUUUUGGGAGGGGAAGUGAGGUAGACGGGAAAAUGAUGAAAAGCUGAAAGGCAGCGUUUGGGCUUGUAAAACCGAUGUUCUGAACCGAAUCAAACCAAUUCAGUUCAGUUUGAUUCAAUUUUUCUCUUAAUUCAGCUCAAUUUUGAUUGGUA
rnacentral:misc_RNA from 1 species